UUCAACAGGCAACAAAGGAAGAAAGGAAGAGGCCGUCAGCUACAAAGUGUUAGCCAACCUAGACAGAAAGAUGUCACCUUACUGUGUCAUUCCAGUCGGACAUGUACACGUUUAGGAAGGAACCAAAACUCGGCCACAAUAACGCGAUACACUCUCGCUGUGGGCGCAGUAGUUGACUGGAGGGAGGCUGGCGGUAAUGUUUUCGACAGCAAACGCUCACAAAGCUAGCUGAUUGACUUAUGUUAGCUGAUAUUAGCCAAAGCUAACGUUAGCCAACAGUUGUGAAGAAGCGAACCUUUCAUGAACGUGUUGUGCAAGAGAGAUGCCAUCCCUUCUGGGUUAUUUUGCCUAGUGCGACACGCAGAAGUGAUCGGCAUCAAAUGAAAGGUGGUGGAAGUGGAACUUGACCCAUCCAACUGAGUCACCAUUUUCCUGCACAUAAUGGGUUUAAUGGCUCCACUGUAUGUAUGACUUGUUUCGUGCGGCCUGAUGGGGGGACACUGUGGAUAAUACUUUCAUCAGGAUACCAGGAGAGCCAACCCAUGCCCCCACUUUGGAGGGCCUGUCAGAAUGAAGAAGAUAAGCCUUAAGACCAUCCGCAAGUCCCUAAGCAUAAAGGGCAAAGAGGAGGGGGACUUUGUCAUGCUCCAGCAGCCCUCGGUGACAACGGAUUUUUCAAAGGAAGAGUCACUGUUUGGGGGCUGCUACACCAAAGAGCUAUCUGGGUGUGACCUUGGUAGUGAAGAGGACAAAGGAGGCCAGAAUAAGAGCCGCUCAAAGAGUGAGAGCCUGAUGGGAUCACUAAAAAGGAGACUGUCUGCUAAGCAGAAGGCAAAAGUAAAAGGCAGCUCAUCUGCCAUAGGCUCAGCGGAUGAUGAUGACACCUUCUCAUCCUCUUCUGUGCCCAUCAGCUUCAAUGAGGUGAAAGCCCAGAGACCCCUUAGAUCUGUGUCCCUACGUAGUCACCAUUAUAGCCCUUCACCGUGGCCUCUGCGCUCAGUAAACUCUGAUGAAGCAUGUAUCAAGAUGGAGGUAAAAGUUAAAGCCAUGGUUCACUCUCCCAGCCCAAGUCCCAACUUAAAUGGUGUCCGGAAAGAAUUUCAUGAUUUUCAAAUGGAAGGGCUCUUUCAGGACCAAGCAGAAUCCUUAAAGAAUAUCCAACAGCCACAAAACGGGGAGCUGCAUCUAAAUAUCGAUGAAAAUGAUGUGCCUGUGGUGCUGGGGUUGACUCCCCAGGACUACAUCCAGUACACAAUGCCUUUAGAUGAGGGAAUGUACCCAGAAGGGUCCCACUCUUUCUGCCUGGAUAGCUCCUCUCCUAUGGAGGUGGUGACUGAAGCAGACAAUGCGUCCCUCCACACAGACCAGGGACAAGAGGAACAUGAACUGGUUUGUGGGAUGCCUCCAGAUCUCUUCAUGGAAACCUCAGUUAAUAGUCUUUUCAUUGGUUCUGCUGGUGUGAUGCUCCAAAGUUCUCGAGUAGAGGUCCCACCUCCCCUCUUUCCACUCCUGCCGCCCAUGAUGAGUAAUGGGCGUAUUCCAAGGACUUUUUCAGGGUUUAGUUCUUUAGACAGCCAGGUAGCUGAGAGGGUAAGACACCACCUCAACUUUGACCCAAAUACAGCUCCUGGGGUCAGUCGGGUGUACGAAUCAGUGCAGAACAGCGGGCCCAUGGUCGUCACCAGUCUGACAGAGGAGCUGAAGAAGCUGGCGAGGCAGGGCUGGUACUGGGGCCCCAUCACACGCUGGGAGGCAGAGGAAAAGCUGAUCAACUUGGCUGAUGGCUCAUUCCUGGUCAGAGACAGCUCAGAUGACAGGUACCUGCUCAGCCUGAGUUUCAGGUCACAGGGCAAAACCCUCCACACACGCAUUGAACACUCCAAUGGACGCUUCAGCUUCUAUGAGCAGCCUGAUGUGGAGGGACACACAUCCAUCGUUGACUUAAUUGAACACUCUAUCAGAGACUCAGAGAAUGGAGCUUUUUGCUAUUCCAGGUCUCGCUUACCAGGGUCUGCAACCUACCCUGUCAGACUAACCAACCCAGUAUCUCGGUUUAUGCAAGUGCGCUCCCUGCAGUAUCUCUGUCGCUUUGUCAUUAGACAAUACACAAGGAUAGAUCUGAUCCAGAAACUGCCCUUACCUAACAAGAUGAAAGAUUAUCUGCAAGAGAAGCACUACUGAGGACACAGAGAUAAGACAGUGGUAGCAAUUUGCACUUUUGUGUUCAGUUAAGAGAUUUAAACAAGGUUUACAGACAACCACAGUUUUGAGAUGAUUGGUUCCGGUGGCUCUUGAUUUGUGUCCACGUGACUCUGUCACUGUUAAGUCCUCCAUUCCAUUGUAAUGGGUUUUUCCGCUGAUUUUAGGAGGCUCUACUUCCAGAAACAUAGGCAAGCACAUAAUCUAUUGCAGAAGUAUAGAAUAGGGAUACAGCCAAAUUGUCUUAGCUGUGCAGACAUUAGUGUAGUGUAACAUCCAGCUGUGCAAAUAGAGCAGAUUUUCAAAGAAUUGCCAUCUCCUUUAAAGUUGAGCCUGUACGGGGAAAAAAACGUAAUCUGAAUUUCAAAAUUAUUUUAAUUUUUAUUCACCAAAUUGUACUUUUAAAAGAUGAAAAAGUAUUGCUACAAUGACGAUUUUAAAAUCAAAUGUCAACAUUUCUGCAGAUUGACCUAUUUUGAUCAUCUUUUGCUUUGUGUUACUUGUCAAAUUGUGCAACAUUAGCCAUCUUUUUCCAAACUACAAAUUAGAACAUAGUUUUGCAUUCAUUCUAUGCAAUUCGUCGAAUAGCAAGGCGAGGCUUCAUCGCCCAACAACGAGUGAUGAUGGCCAAUCUAUGAGUUUCAGUUUUUUUUUUUUUCUAAUUUACAAACGUAUCUACUUGUCCAGUGGAUGCAGUUUCUUCCACAGGUAGUCGCUGACUCAAGUUACAACUGUCUUUCUUCAAAUACAGUUGUGCUUCAGUAUGCUCAGCCUGGUGCAGCCUUUAUAUCGUCAUGUUUCCUGCUUUUAAUUUGUAUAAACAUGGCCAUUAAUAGACAUGGAUGCUUAUUGGUCAAACAAAAGAUGAAACACUAACCACAAAACCAUAUCAAUAAAAAACCAGGCCCACAAAAUGAACAUGUUGCAAAAGAUGCCCCAAAUGUGCUGAUCUGUGAGAAGGCUUGUUUGGUAAGAGUAACUUUAAAUAGUAUGGCUGCAUGUAGCCUUUAUACAACAUGCAAGCCUAAAGGUACUGACGAUGCUGGAUUUUAAUGUGCUGUUUGUAAAACGGCAUCAAGAUGAUGUAUAAACCUUUUUGAAGUAUUACCAUUAAUCGUUAAAUGUUUCUGCAUUAGGAAUCUUACAAAAACUGCACCGCAGCUCAGGCCUAACAACUUAGUCACUAUCUGUAAUGCUUGUAUCUGCAUGUAGUAACAGUGGUCAAUUAAGGGCAACGUAGAGUUACUCUAAAUGAGAGGGGACGUUCUGGUUAAAGUGUAAUUAAGCGUAACUGAGCAAAAAGCUGUUUAAUGCACAAUUCCAUUUACCUUAGGCCGCUAACAAAUAAAGAAAACUGCCCUCCGUUAUCCUGCAACUGACCAACAGACAUCUAGUCAGUUGUAAUGAGCUGGACCCACAUCAAAAGCAGCCAAGAAAAUGUGUGAGCUUAGGUAAAAGGAUUUGGGAAAGCCAGGGUUAAGUCCUCCUCGCCAUAUGGGAGUGAUGCCACGGUCUCGUUGCAUCACAGCUGCAUGGCACCAUUAGUGUCAUAUAGGUUUCAAGGACAUUUGCAAAAAAACAAAAACAUUUCACCAUUGCUUAUUCACAUUGUCCCCACAGAGCUGCACUCCCCCACAUAUUGUCUCUACUUGACUGCUUGUGCCAGAGUAAAGGGAAGAGCACACAGUAAGCUACGCAAGUGCUUUAUAUGGAUACUUUGACAGGGAAUUGUGUUUUCACAUUAUGAAUGAGCAGCUUUUUCGACAUCAGUGUCCUUUAAAAGGUAUUUGGAAAAUGGUCUCGGACAGCUUUGGUAGGUCGUUAGCGCAUAGUUUUAGUUCUCUGGAAAUGUCGGUGUCUGAGGAAGUUACCAUGAAUCGAGCACAGCAGAAAUUAGAUAGGAACAUUGAAUGGUGUUGCAUGUUUAAAGACUUAGCAUCUUAAAGCUUAAACCUUUGAGUUGUAUAGGAAUGAAGGAUCUAGGUUGUGUGUUUGGCUGUGUAGAGGGACACGUAUCUGUCACAAACAUUGGCUGGACAUUCUGUGUACAAGAAAUGUAUUUUCUUUUUAGAAUCCUUAUGUGAGUUUAUUUUGUGACAUUUGCCAUCUGGGGGAUGGGGCUGUACAAAAGGAAUGUACGCUUGUUUGAGGUAUCCAUUUUGCAGACCAGUUUCAGAAAGCAUGAGAAUCAUAAGAACAACGUUGUCACAUUUUUUGCACUUGAAUAUUCUCCGUUGUCAUGCUUUGGGUCCUCUCCUGCCUAGAGUUCUCCUUCAGAUGGCAGUGUUAAAAAAAGAAUUAAAGUCACACAUUUGUCCUUGUGUGUUCAUAUAACUGUUUAGAUUGAAACAAGAUUGUUUUGUUUUUGUCAUAUCUGUGGGAUAUAAAGGGGAGGGCACCAGCAUCAUAUCAACGCCUCUGCUAAUGCUCAUGGACUGUCAAGGAAUUGGAUCAUGGCAAGAACGUGGAUGUACAUUUUAAACUUUUUUUUGGGGGGGGGGGGGGGGGGGUGUAUUUGUUUCAGUUGAAAUGUGAAAGUAAAAUGUUAGUUUUUUUUAAUACAAUGUUCUUUUAAUUGCAUUUCCAUUUUAAUUUACAAUUUGUCACCAGUUUGCUGCGCAGGAGCCAGUUUCAUAUGGUGUUGCUUCUGUGACAUUUCAAUACCUAUUUAGUUAAUUAUUAAGCAUUAUUGCCUUCAAUGUUUGAUUCCAGAAGUUGAUGCUUGUUGAGACUGCUGAAGCAUUUUGAAUUAAUAACAGCUGUUUAGCACUUAACAAGCUCCGUUUUCUUUUUGUGCAUCUCCGUGAGUGAAGGUGAUUGUUUACAACACUAUGUUUUAGAAUGCCCCCCCUUACUUUCUUUGUUUACCCUCUCUCACAUGAACAUCUUGGUACAAUUUGUAAACUCGUAUUUCAUUUUAAUGUGUUUUUACACAUUUGUGCUGCUUACGGAUAUGAUUGCCUUUUCUUGUAUUUAACAACGGGGAAAUAGAAUGUCACCAAUGUAGAUGUAUUUAAACAUAUUGACUUUGGUUUUACUCUUGGGAGAGCAAAGCAGAUUUAACAACAGUAGUCGGUUAAAAGAGCAUUAGUAGCGAUUAGCAAACCCUUUGUAGAAUUACCAGUUCACUCCAGUUUACAUUGGUUGUCAACUGUCAACUUUCCAAAGUAGAUGGUCUUUUUGUAUUUUUCCUUUGGAAAAAAAUCAACAGUGAUUUAUUGCACACUUUGGAUACAGCUCAAGAGUUUUUUGUAUCUGCCAAUUAUAAAUUAUAAAUAAAAACAAAAAAAACUAUAUUCUAAAAAAAAAAAAAAAAAUCUUUGUACACUUUGUGUGUUUCUCACAUGAAAUGAUUUUGUGAAAUCAUUACUGUCGUUGGACUAGAUUGAGCCCCUCGCAUGCAGAGUUCAUGCCAUGGCUUGGACACACUGAUGCUCUUGACACAGCCUGAUCAUGCUUGCAGUUGUGUUAAUAGAUAAAACCAUUGAGGUGUCAAUGAUUCUCUCCACAGUGGGUACAAAUUGGCAGCUCGUUCCAGAGCGUUGGUUGCCUAAUUUACAGAGACCAUCCAGGCAGUCUUUAAAUGCAACCGAGUGAAGGGGAGACUCUGGGGGAAGAUUAGCAGCAUUGCCACCAUCCUCGCUUUAACUUCGUCGUCUGGAGAAACAUGGCUGCCCACAUUACUCACCCUGCUCCAGUCUGGUGUAGCGGGCAUCUAGCGAGAGAUUAUCAAAUGGAAAUGUCUACGACACAAUCUGACUUCAUAAACUGCUUUCAGGAACUGGUCUCACGACCCUUAGAGCACUAAGUAGUGAGACUCACAAUUUAGCAUGUGCCCGGUCAAGAUAGGGCUUUGGGUCAACCAUCGCACUCAAACUGUUACGGCUGACCCGACAAGGUUUUAUGACCCUACCUUUGUGUUUCUUUACGAUCAUUCACAUUCAUGAGGACAGAGAGCAUCCAAGUGUAAUAAACUAGUUACAGAAACCUUUCCUUAAUAUUCUAGGCCUAAGAAGAUACAUAUAAAAAUGUAUAUCAACAUAUUUGGUAUCAUUUUGCAGCUGAGAUAGCACCGAUUUCAAAUAUGGAACAAUUAAAACGAGUAACAAGUCAUUUGGAAAAAUAAGGUGACAUAAUAAUAAUAAUAAUAAUAUAGUAAUAAUCAAGAUGGGUGCCCUCCAUAAAACUACACUUUCUCAAGAAGAAAAGGCAACGAGAGGACUUCUCUCUGUGUCUUUUAAUCUGGACUGAUAAGAUGAUUCAGCAUCCCGGUGAGAGAGAUGGAGACGAGGAAGAACGGUUCAAGCCGAACUUCAACAAAGGAGACAACCAGGUUCCGAAGAUAUCAGAGAAAACCGAAUCCCGCGAGAUGGAAAAGUGCGAUUCAUUCUGCGUGCAGCUCAACCUGCCAUCAGGUGAAACGAAACGAAACAUUUAUGUCACAUAAUAAAAUAAUGUUAGAUAGAAAUAUCUUAGACCUAAUCAUCCACUUCUUUUUUUAAAUAAAAAAUAAUAUAAAGGUGCUUAAAAAUCUGCCCUGGUGCAUCUCAAACUCUCAGUUGCUGAAAGUUCUGAGCAACAUUUUAUGUAGAAUGUCAAUCGACGAAUUUAUUUAAUCAAUUUAUUUAGUCAAUUUAUUUAGUCAAUGAUGUGAGUCACUGAUUCUACCUG